GAUGAACGCUGGCGGCGUGCUUAACACAUGCAAGUCGAACGGGAAGGCCCAAGCUUGCUUGGGUACUCGAGUGGCGAACGGGUGAGUAACACGUGGGUGAUCUGCCCUGCACUUCGGGAUAAGCCUGGGAAACUGGGUCUAAUACCGGAUAGGACCACAUUUUGGAUGGUGUGGUGGAAAGUUUUUCGGUGUGGGAUGAGCUCGCGGCCUAUCAGCUUGUUGGUGGGGUAAUGGCCUACCAAGGCGUCGACGGGUAGCCGGCCUGAGAGGGUGUACGGCCACAAUGGGACUGAGAUACGGCCCAGACUCCUACGGGAGGCAGCAGUGGGGAAUAUUGCACAAUGGGCGCAAGCCUGAUGCAGCGACGCCGCGUGGGGGAUGACGGCCUUCGGGUUGUAAACUCCUUUCGCUAGGGACGAAGCGUUAUGUGACGGUACCUGGAGAAGAAGCACCGGCUAACUACGUG
rnacentral:rRNA from 1 species